rnacentral:rRNA from 1 species
AUUGAACGCUGGCGGCAGGCCUAACACAUGCAAGUCGAGCGGAUGAGAGGAGCUUGCUUCUCGAUUCAGCGGCGGACGGGUGAGUAAUGCCUAGGAAUCUGCCUGGUAGUGGGGGACAACGUUUCGAAAGGAACGCUAAUACCGCAUACGUCCUACGGGAGAAAGCAGGGGACCUUCGGGCCUUGCGCUAUCAGAUGAGCCUAGGUCGGAUUAGCUAGUUGGUGAGGUAAUGGCUCACCAAGGCGACGAUCCGUAACUGGUCUGAGAGGAUGAUCAGUCACAAUGGAACGGGGACACGGUCCAGACUCCUACGGGAGGCAGCAGUGGGGAAUAUUGGACAAUGGGCGAAAGCCUGAUCCAGCCAUGCCGCGUGUGUGAAGAAGGUCUUCGGAUUGUAAAGCACUUUAAGUUGGGAGGAAGGGUUGUAGAUUAAUACUCUGCAAUUUUGACGUUACCGACAGAAUAAGCACCGGCUAACUCUGUGCCAGCCGCCGCCGUAACAC